GAUGAACGCUGGCGGCGUGCCUAAUACAUGCAAGUCGAGCGAACAGAUGAGGAGCUUGCUCCUCUGACGUUAGCGGCGGACGGGUGAGUAACACGUGGAUAACCUACCUAUAAGACUGGGAUAACUUCGGGAAACCGGAGCUAAUACCGGAUAAUAUAUUGAACCGCAUGGUUCAAUAGUGAAAGACGGUUUUGCUGUCACUUAUAGGUGGAUCCGCGCCGCAUUAGCUAGUUGGUAAGGUAACGGCUUACCAAGGCAACGAUGCGUAGCCGACCUGAGAGGGUGAUCGGCCACACUGGAACUGAGACACGGUCCAGACUCCUACGGGAGGCAGCAGUAGGGAAUCUUCCGCAAUGGGCGAAAGCCUGACGGAGCAACGCCGCGUGAGUGAUGAAGGUCUUCGGAUCGUAAAACUCUGUUAUUAGGGAAGAACAAAUGUGUAAGUAACUAUGCACGUCUUGACGGUACCUAAUCAGAAAGCCACGGCUAACUACGU
rnacentral:rRNA from 1 species